rnacentral:rRNA from 1 species
GUGGGGAAUCUUGCGCAAUGGGCGAAAGCCUGACGCAGCCAUGCCGCGUGAAUGAUGAAGGUCUUAGGAUUGUAAAAUUCUUUCACCGGGGACGAUAAUGACGGUACCCGGAGAAGAAGCUCCGGCUAACUUCGUGCCAGCAGCCGCGGUAAUACGAAGGGGGCUAGCGUUGCUCGGAAUUACUGGGCGUAAAGGGCGCGUAGGCGGACAGCUUAGUCAGAGGUGAAAGCCCAGGGCUCAACCUUGGAAUUGGCUUUGAUACUGGCUGUCUUGAGUUUGGGAGAGGUGAGUGGAACUCCGAAUGUAGAGGUGAAAUUCGUAGAUAUUCGGAAGAACACCAGUGGCGAAGGCGACUCACUGGCCCAAUACUGACGCUGAGGCGCGAAAGCGUGGGGAGCAAACAGGAUUAGAUACCCCUGUAGUCC